AUGGCCUCCACGCCGGAGCCCGGUGAGCCCGAGGAGAGGAAGUCCCUUAAGCUCCUAGGAUUUUUAGAUGUUGAAAAUACUCCCUGCGCCCGGCAUUCAAUAUUGUAUGGUUCAUUAGGAUCUGUUGUGGCUGGCUUUGGACAUUUUUUGUUCACUAGUAGAAUUAGAAGAUCAUGUGAUGUUGGAGUAGGGGGGUUUAUCUUGGUGACUUUGGGAUGCUGGUUUCACUGUAGGUAUAAUUAUGCAAGGCAAAGAAUCCAGGAAAGAAUUGCCAGAGAAGAAAUUAAAAAGAAGAUAUUAUAUGAAGGUACCCACCUCGAUCCUGAAAGAAAACACAACGGCGGCAGCAGCAAUUGA
rnacentral:lncRNA from 1 species